AGAAGCAGAACAGAAUCAGCAGAACAAAAGCAGCCCUCUGCUUGCCACCUUCCCAGCACAUUUCUGGGUUGGGUUCCUUGUUUGUUACCUGGUGGUUGUACG